UUUGCCUGGUUGGGACAUAUG
rnacentral:piRNA from 1 species